rnacentral:lncRNA from 1 species
AUUUUAUCAAUGUGAUGAUGAGAAAGAGAGAGAACCCGCACCCAGAGCACGGCCUCACUUUGUGUCACUCCACUGGCUGAUCACAAAGGAUGCAUGAAGUGCAAUGAAACUGAACAGGCUGGAGCCUGUAUUUCCUUUUGGCAACUGGAAACAGCAAAUCACAUUAAAAAUGAUUUAGCACUGAGUUGUGGGUGGUGAGGGGGAAGCCAGACACUCCUUUUCAGUGUCUCAGGAUAAUGUAAUCAAAGAGUGGACACACAAAAAGCAUAUGAUUUUUCUGUUUAUCUGCACAGGUACGUUGUGAUUCAGAGGCCAGCACUUAUUUUUAAUUUAAGGGUCAAUAUUUAGGCACCUAAAGAAAAGUGACUUGCGACGAAAUCUAUCAAAGUGGCUACUGAUCUCAGUUUGCAUCAGGUCUGGAGAGGUGCAAAGUUCCAGGAAUUCCAAGUGACCUCAGAGGGACAUGUUCAGUACUGCUGAAAGUCAGGUCCAAGGUGACUCAGGUUGGACACCCAAAAAUCAAGGGAUCUGAAUCAAUGUCUACUUUGGGAAACAUUUGCCCUAACUUUAAGAAAAGCAACGAUUUCCACAGAAUAUGACUUUUGUAGCCUGGGUUUGGACAACCAAGUCUGAACGUUGCAUUGUAGCAUCUAUCUAUGAAAGAGAAGGAGAGAACUGCCUUGCUAAGGAUUAGUGUUCCUAGCCCUAAUGCAGCCAUUCUUCAGGACCCUACAUUGUAACUGUACAACUACCUUCAUCCCUCAUCUCAGGUCUGUGUGAAGAAUUGGGGUUGAACAAUGAUCGAGAAGGGAGGUAUCCAGAAGGGGUUUCCUCCUGUGAGCAGUGCCAUAAUGAGAGCUUGGUGCAUGAAGGGAGUUGAAGCCAGAAUUCAACAGUAUUUGCAGCUGGCUCCAAGACAUCAGUCUCACCAUCAUUCGCUAUCUUGGCCGACUUACAGUGAUUCCAGGAGAAACUCCUUAGUUUAUUUUAACAUCAUUUCCUUUCGUUGGAUCUGGCUUUUUGCAGUGUUCUUUUGAAAGGGAUCACAAAAGAGGAAAUCCUCUUUUUCUGUUAGAAUUAUUCUAAACUACUGGCUUCUCUAACUCAUGGCAAGAAAGAUCUGGAUUGACUUACUUCAUGUCAUCUCCAGCCAUUGAUGCUAUCUAUGUUUCUAAAGAGAGACCAAAUCCUGAAAAUCAUUGCUCAGUUCUCACUCCACCUUGACUCAUGAAAAGUGUUCUUUGACCACAAUGGAAAAUGGUUAGAACACAAUGGUCAAUUUGAUUGAAUGAGAAUAGAGUGAAUUCUGAUGAAGGAUGAUUGUGUAACAGUAUGGUUUAUGUUUGGCAAUACUUUUCUAAACUGUGUA